UACGUAGGCAGCAAGCGUUGUUCGGAAUUACUGGGCGUAAAGAGUGUGUAGGCGGUGCUCUAAGUUUGUCGUGAAAUCUCCCGGCUUAACUGGGAGGGUGCGGCGAAAACUGGAGUGCUAGAGGGUGGGAGAGGAAAGCGGAAUUCCUGGUGUAGCGGUGAGAUGCGUAGAUAUCAGGAGGAACACCUGCGGUGUAGACAGCUUUCUGGACCACUUCUGACGCUGAGACACGAAAGCGUGGGUAGCAAACAGG
rnacentral:rRNA from 1 species